UCGUAACAAGGUCUCCGUUGGUGAACCAGCGGAGGGAUCAUUACUGGGUUUAACAACUCCCAACCCAUUGUGAACAUACCUACGUUGCUUCGGCGGCGGGCUUCGGCCCCCGCCGGGGACCCAAACCUCUUAUUUUACCAAGUGUUUAUUCUGAGUGAAAACAAAAUAAAUCAAAACCUUUAACAACGGAUCUCUUGGCUCUGGCAUCGAUGAAGAACGCAGCGAAAUGCGAAAAGUAAUGUGAAUUGCAGAAUUCCGUGAAUCAUCGAAUCUUUGAACGCACAUUGCGCCCGCUGGAACUCCGGCGGGCAUGCCUGUCCGAGCGUCAUUUCAACCCCUCAGGCCCCCUUUCGGGGCGGGCCUGGUGUUGGGGCUCGGCCGCUACCCUGCGGCCGUCCCCUAAAUGCAGUGGCGGCCUCGCCGCAAUCUCUUGCGUAGUACUAUACCUCGCACUGGAACGCGACGCGGCCACGCCGUAAAACCCCCAAUUUUUACUGGUUGACCUCGGAUCAGGUAGGAAUACCCGCUGAACUUA
rnacentral:rRNA from 1 species